GUCGAGUGGCAUCUAACCUAGUGUUAAAGAACAUAGGUUGAGAAUAAACCUAGAGUUAACUAAAUCUAGGUGUGUGGCAUUAACCUAGUGUCGUGAACAUAGGUUAUGGAUUGAACCUAGAGUUAAAGUAAACCUAGGUUAUGUGAUAGAGACGUUGAGCCUAGAGUCAAUUGGACCUAGGGUGAAAAGGACGUUGGACCUAGAUAGGUCAAUGCUAUAGGGUUUGAAACCAACCCUUGAGUUAUGAAAUGGAUUCCGGAAUCCCUAGUGAUGUGGCCGCACAUGGAGCGGUGAAAAUUGUGAUAAAAGAGAUGGCAAGUGAAUCAUAACUGCAGGUAUGUAUGGUUCUCCUCGCCUGGCAGUGAUUCAACGGGUAUGUGUGGUUCUCCUCGCCCGGGAUGCCAUGAGAAUAAGCUGGAAUUGGGUAUGUGUGGUUCUCCUCGCCCAUUAGCUUAUCGGAUGAUGCCGCCUAGGUUGACUUGAACCAUUGUUGGGUGAGAGCGAUGUGGUCGCUGCCAGAUGACUAAGUUAUGACUUGAACCAUUGUUGGGUGAGGUGCGAUGAGUUCGCCGCCAGAUGGCUAAGUCAUGACUUGAGUUGUUGUUGGGUGAGAGCGAUGAGUUCGCCGCCAGAUGGUUAAGUCAGAUGCAGCCAGGCUGAGGUGCAGCCAGUGCGCGGACUAUCCGCGGAUGAUUGACUCGAGGCCGAGUCGGGUGAUUAGCUUGAUUAGGUUAAUGGGAACCUUAUAAGCUAGUGAUCAAGGCAAGAACCUGAGGUAAUAGAGACCUUAGAAGCAAGUUGAACUUGAGUUGAGAACGUAAGGUAAUGGAAACCUUACAAUUGAAUGAAAUGACCUAAAGUAGCAAAGUAAAUGUAGAAUUAACAUAUCUACUAGUUGUUUAUGCAGUUGCAUAGUUGCAUAAUGUUCAUAUUGCAUUUGCGAGGCAAGGUAUGGUUUUAUUAAUUGCAUAGUCAAAUAUCUAUCUAUCUAUUUAUUAAACUAACCUGCAGUUGCCUCCUUGGACCUAUUGGUCGAGCUCCUCCCUUGGGUGGCCGUACCCACUGGAAACCAUGGAGUUGGUUCUCACCCCACGUUGUUUUGGGGUGUUACAGGUUCGCACGUGAGCGGCGCGGCGGCGCGAGGCAAGGGCGUAGCUCCAUAGAUAGCGCCCUACCCCAGAGACCAGAAAUAGCGGUACCCCGAGUCGGCAUAGCCUAGGGGUAGAGGGAAAAGAAAAAGAGUAAACUUGUAUUAAUAUUGCGAUCAUUGAUUGUAUUUGGAAGAAAAUGUAAUGUAAUAAUGCUAAUGUGAUGUAAAAAUGAAUCUAAUGAAUGCUUGUAAUAACAUAGNUUUCUUGCAUAGUUGCAACCUAGGGCUCCAGAAUGCAAUUUUUGCUAAUAGAUGGGUUUGAUCUAAAUCGAACAUAUAUAAACCUAAUUGCUAGGUAACGAAACGCGUUGGCGAAGACGGAUCGGCAAUCUGACGAGCCGUUACAAAGUUAUUAAAGAAACGGACGUUUAGGCUUCGUUUCCGCCUGGAGGGCCGAGGCGACGUCGUAAAAUCAUGAAAACGGAUUUGAAGUACCGUGGCACAUAACCGAAGACCUUUAAUUUUCGGAUCGCAAAUCGGAGAUCGUUUGGGUGAUUGCGCGAGAGUUCGAGCCAAACCGGGUCGCGGGUGUCGCGUGCGGCCGAUUGCAAGUGACUACAAGCAAUCGGAGAGUAAGUUAAGGUGGGUUGUGCUUACCGAAGCGACUAGGUCGCCCUUUAUGUCUAAGAGAAAUGUAAAUUCAUAUUGAUGCAUAUAAAUGGUAGAUGGAUGCAAGAGUUAAAUGCUAGGCGAAUGCAUGUUAAUUGCUAUGCUACGACUACCAUAGAAUGCAUGAUGAACAUAUUAUAGGAAUGCUAAAUAAUGCAUGUGAGCACAUUGUAAAGAAUGCAUAUUAAUGACAUAAUGUAAAUAUGCUAGUUAAUACAUGUAUGAUGACAUGAUGAGAAAAUGCUAGAUUACAUGCAUAUUAACAUGUUGUAGAUCAUGUGAGAAAGAUUAUGCAUGUUGGCAUCAAAUAAUGCGCAUGCUAGAUAAAAUGUUGAUAGUUAUGGAACUCGACAUGGACAAUUAGGAUGUCAAAUAGAUCGAGUGGCACUUAACCUAGUGUAUAAAACAUAGGUUGGACAUGAAUGACAAUGAACCUAGUGUUAUUGAACAUAGGUCGAGUGGCAUCUAACCUAGUGUUAAAGAACAUAGGUUAUGGAUUGAACCUAGAGUUAAGUAAACCUAGGUUAUGUGAUAGAGACGUUGAACCUAGAGUCAGUUGGACCUAGGAUGAAAAGGACGUUGGACCUAGAUAGGUCAAUGCUAUAGGGUUUGAAACCAACCAUUGAGUUAUGAAAUGGAUUCCGGAAUCCCUAGUGAUAUGGCCGCACAUGGAGCGGUAGAAAUUGUGAUCAAAGAGAUGGCAAGCGAAUCAUAACUGCAGGUAUGUGUGGUUCUCCUUGCCUUGCAGUGAUUCAACGGGUAUGUGUGGUUCUCCUCGCCCGAGAUGCCAUGAGAAUAAGCUGGAAUUGGGUAUGUGUGGUUCUCCUCGCCCAUUAGCUUACUGGAUGAUGCCGCCUAGGUUGACUUGAACCAUUGUUGGGUGAGAGCGAUGUGGUCGCUGCCAGAUGACUAAGUUAUGACUCGAACCAUUGUUGGGUGAGGUGCGAUGAGUUCGCCGCCAGAUGGCUACGUCAUGACUUGAGUUGUUGUUGGGUGAGAGCGAUGAGUUCGCCGCCAGAUGGUUAAGUCAGAUCUGCGGUAGGCUGCGACGGCAGCCAGGCUGAGGUGCAGCCAGUGCGCGGACUAUCCGCGGAUGAUUGACUCGAGGCCGAGUCGGGUGGUUAGCUUGAUUAGGCUAAUAGGAACCUUAUAAGCUAGUGAUCGAG
rnacentral:lncRNA from 1 species